GACGAACGCUGGCGGCGUGCUUUACACAUGCAAGUCGAACGGUAAGGCCCUUCGGGGUACACGAGUGGCGAACGGGUGAGUAACACGUGGGUGAUCUGCCCUGCACUUCGGGAUAAGCCUGGGAAACUGGGUCUAAUACCGGAUAGGACCACUGCCUGCAUGGGUGGUGGUGGAAAGCUUUUGCGGUGUGGGAUGGGCCCGCGGCCUAUCAGCUUGUUGGUGGGGUGAUGGCCUACCAAGGCGACGACGGGUAGCCGGCCUGAGAGGGUGACCGGCCACACGGGGACGGGGAUACGGCCCAGACUCCUACGGGAGGCAGCAGUGGGGAAUAUUGCACAAUGGGCGCAAGCCUGAUGCAGCGACGCCGCGUGAGGGAUGACGGCCUUCGGGUUGUAAACCUCUUUCAGCACCGACGAAGCGCAAGUGACGGUAGGUGCAGAAGAAGGACCGGCCAACUACGUGCCAGCCGCCGCCGCCG
rnacentral:rRNA from 1 species